UACAGAGGGUGCAAGCGUUAAUCGGAAUUACUGGGCGUAAAGCGCACGUAGGCGGCUUCGUAAGUUAGAGGUGAAAGCCCGGGGCUCAACUCCGGAAUUGCCUUUAAGACUGCAUCGCUAGAAUUGUGGAGAGGUAAGUGGAAUUCCGAGUGUAGAGGUGAAAUUCGUAGAUAUUCGGAAGAACACCAGUGGCGAAGGCGACUUACUGGACACAUAUUGACGCUGAGGUGCGAAAGCGUGGGGAGCAAACAGG
rnacentral:rRNA from 1 species